rnacentral:rRNA from 1 species
UAAGGAAUAUUGGUCAAUGGACGCAAGUCUGAACCAGCCAUGCCGCGUGGAGGAUUAAGGCCCUCUGGGUUGUAAACUUCUUUUAGACGGGACAAAACCCCUUUACGUGUAAAGGGUUGAUGGUACUGUCAGAAUAAGCAUCGGCUAACUUCGUGCCAGCAGCCGCGGUAAUACGAAGGAUGCAAGCGUUAUCCGGAAUUAUUGGGUUUAAAGGGUGCGUAAGCGGACUAAUAAGUCAGUGGUGAAAGCCUGCAGCUUAACUGCAGAAUUGCCAUUGAUACUGUUAGUCUUGAGUACAGUUGAGGUAGGCGGAAUGUGUCAUGUAGCGGUGAAAUGCUUAGAUAUGACACAGAACACCGAUUGCGAAGGCAGCUUGCUAAGCUGUAACUGACGCUGAGGCACGAAAGCGUGGGGAGCAAACA